rnacentral:sRNA from 1 species
ACACAAGGAAGGAGGUGGUCCGCGAAAUUGUUAGCUUCAUGGACAUGUGAGGUGGCUGCGCGCUAGCACCACUGGCUCGGAGAAGCUAGCAGCCAACGCGCGCUGGCGAAUUCCCCGCAGCCACCCGGCCCCCGAGCUUCCGGUCUUGUCCAACCAGGAGCUUCGCUCGGGGGCCGCUCCAU